AAAAAAUGCAUAUUGUGAUGCAUCGAAGAGAGCAUUAUCUGAGAUGGAGCUGGAAGAGUUAGACAAGUCCAUGAAAUCUUUGCAAUCGGAUCUCUCCAUAACAAUUUAACAAAAAUCACACAAAAUAAAUUGAAAAAAAAAUUACAACAAACGUAACCAUAUGUUCACCGACCCAGAUAAGGAGAAAGAUUGAAUCUUUCACCGAAUCAAAGAGAAAAAAACCCUCAAAUUUGCUAAAAAUGAAAGAAAAAAGCAGAGGUUUUUAGGGGUUUCGAAGAAAUACGGAGAGAAAAGACAUAGCGUGAAUAUGCACAUUACGUGUUUGGUUAAA
rnacentral:misc_RNA from 1 species